AAAAAGAUAAGCUAAUUAAGCUAUUAGGUUCAUACCCUAAUUAUAGAAGUUAUAAAUCUUCUUCUUUUUA
rnacentral:tRNA from 1 species